AUUGAACGCUGGCGGCAGGCCUAACACAUGCAAGUCGAACGAGUGGCGGAGGGGUGAGUAAUGUCUGGGACAGUGUCAUAUGGGGGGGUAUAAAUUGUGGAAACGGGCGCAUAUCCCACAUACCAACGGAUGCGCCCAUAUGGGAUUCGCUAGUAGGUGGGGGAAAGGCUCACCUAGGCGACGAUCCCUAGCUGGGCUGAGAGGAUGACCAGCCACACUGGAACUGAGACACGGUCCAGACUCCUACGGGAGGCAGCAGUGGGGAAUAUUGCACAAUGGGCGCAAGCCUGAUGCAGCCAUGCCGCGUGUGUGAAGAAGGCCUUCGGGUUGUAAAGCACUUUCAGCGGGGAGGCGUUACCCGCAGAAGAAGCACCGGCUAACUCCGUGCCAGCAGCCGCGGUAAUUC
rnacentral:rRNA from 1 species